UACCGCAUAAGCGCACAGCUUCGCAUGAAGGAGUGUGAAAAACUAAGGUGGUAUAUGAUGGAUCCGCGUCUGAUUAGCCAGUUGGUGAGGUGACGGCUCACCAAAGCGACGAUCAGUAGCCGGCCUGAGAGGGCGGACGGCCACAUUGGGACUGAGACACGGCCCAGACUCCUGCGGGAGGCAGCAGUGGGGGAUAUUGCACAAUGGGGGGAACCCUGAUGCAGCGACGCCGCGUGAGUGAAGAAGUAAUUCGUUACGUAAAGCUCUAUCAGCAGGGAAGAAAAUGACGGUACCUGACUAAGAAGCCCCGGCUAACUACGUGCCAGCAGCCGCGGUAAUACGUAGGGGGCAGGCGUUAUCCGGAAUUACUGGGUGUAAAGGGAGCGCAGACGGCAGUGCAAGUCUGGAGUGAAAGCCCGUGGCUUAACUACGGGACUGCUCUGGAAACUGUGCAGCUAGAGUGCAGGAGAGGCAGGCGGAAUUCCUAGUGUAGCGGUGAAAUGCGUAGAUAUUAGGAGGAACACCGGUGGCGAAGGCGGCCUGCUGGACUGUAACUGACGUUGAGGCUCGAAAGCGUGGGGAGCAAACAGGAUUAGAUACCCUGGUAGUCCACGCCGUAAACGAU
rnacentral:rRNA from 1 species